ACACCCGGCUUUAAGGAACAAAGCCAGGUGCAUCUCAUACAUGCGCCAAGAAGACAACAUAUAUAAUAACAGAGUGUAUAGAGAUAAAUGUCAUAAAACAUCAGAGUAUUUAUUACAUAGCGGAAGACUUAUUACAAAAUAAAAGAUAAAAGUAAAACGAACUAAGGAUCGUUGGCGCCAAUGUCAACUGAGAAACGCCACCUAGAUCAGAUCGAACACCUCGCCUUGUGGCUCCUCCUGAACCACCUGCUCUUCUCCUGUGGGGGGGUGUGAGUCAGCAAGAGUGAGCUCACACAUGAUCAUCGCUCAACAAGUUGUGGGGAAUAAUGUGACAUGAACUCACCAAAGGUGGGAGCUCAUGGAGUGUAAGGCUUAUCAAAGAGAAUGGUUAAAGCUGAGCAUUGCUUUUAAGUAGUUGGUCAAAAUUUUAUUAGCAAUUACUAAGUGUAAGUAAAUACCAAACCUUAAAUAAAGUAAUAGAACAAAUUAAUAAUAAACCCAUGCAUAUGCGAAUGACAAAUUGAAUUUAAGUUCCAUAAUUUAAUCAUCAGAGAGUCCUGAGCUGCUCAUGACCGUGAGCUCGGCUAGUAUACCAGUUUUACACUCUGCAGAGGUUGUACCCUUUACCCACAAGUCAUGCUACCCAUCUGCCAAGGGGUCGCGAAUCCCAUACACCUCUACCUAGGAAGCGCGGCAGGGCAACACUACGAGGCCUUUACAAAGUUCCACUAGCUUCCGAAAACCCGCUACAGUUUAUAGGAAGUUCCAAUGCAGGGUUCCUGGCUGACCGCCAUCGCAGCAAAAUCAACCAGGGACCUCCCUACACUGACCACUCCCCUACUGCCCUUGCCCCUUUCGGGUAAGGUAGUCUUCCACUAGCUUUCCUAAUUAGUCAGCCAAGGGCGUCCCAUUAAACCCUUGUGGUGGCACGUGGUUCUCAAGUUAAGCUCUAUGUUCCAAUUAACAUUAAUGGUCUCAACAUGAACAUAAAUAGAAUAACAAAAAGAAUUGGAACAUAGAGGUAAUAAAUGAUUAUCCCAAAACCAUAUAAAGCAAUAGCAAACUACCCAAGUGAUUCAGGGGUAAACAAGGUAAUGAGAUAAACAAAUCUAGGGUGACCUAUUGGGUCCCAUCAAAAUUAACCUAUGCAUGGAUAAGUGAUAUUAAAGAACAUUAUUGGGUAAAAAGUGGUCAAGGGCACAACUUGCCUGGCACUUGAGAUUCCAGGUACCAACUUGCUUUUCAGAUGACACGCAUCCUCGCGCUAGUCGUAGUAAUACAGACAAACAUGGCAUAGAUAAAAUUAACAUCACACCAAACAUAAUAACAAACUGAAUGAUAAUGAUCUACGCGCUGCUACGAGACUAACGCAACUUGAACGAGUCAAAUCGGAGUUAAAACGAAGGAGUUAUGAAUUUAUGAAGUUUUAAGUGUUGGAUAACAGAUUAAAUAGGAUAUUAAUUUUAAUAUGGCUUUCAUGUUAAAACAGUGCUACCAAGGGAUAAAAAUAAUUAAUACAAAAUUAUGGGAACUAGAAUGGGUUAAUUUGGACCACAUAUGAAUUUUCUAGGAAUAAAAUGAGUUUCUGGAAUUAUUUAUAUACUAGAAAUCAUUUUCUAUAAUUAUUUAUUUAUUUUCACUGCUCCCUGGAUCUCGCGCACAAAAACAGAGAACAGCAGGGUCUAACUCAUAAAAGUUCUUAAGACUCAGUGAACACCGCCAGAGGACGGCGGGUUGAUUUCUUAAAAAGUCGGGGUCUCUUUUACAAAAUCUGCUCAGCGAAGGGGUAGGUUCUAAUCUGGACCGUCCGAUCAAUAAUGUGUGGCGCAGAUUAGAUGUAACUCAAAUGAAACGGUAAGCGCUAUUAGCCGCGGGAUCCGAGAUCCACGGCCACGAUUUAAUGAAGCUAGAUCUAGUCUGAGCCGAGGGAUGGCAGAUCUACGGUGCCUGUUGAUCGCGCGAACGGGUAAGGGAAUACCUAAUCUCGAUCGCCCAUCAUCAGAUCAACGGCCAGUGGCCAUCAUCCACCUUCUGCACGCGGCCACGGCGGAUAGCGGCACCCAGUCACCGCGGCGCGCCCUGGCUAGUCUACUUCCCACCGACCUACGACGUGCGACUGAUCGAGACGCUAGGUGAUAAACAGAGCUAGGACGACGGUGAAGCCAGGCAGGAGGUCUGUACUCACGAUUGGUUCGGUGGCGAGUCUGCCCACGGAGCGGGGUGGCUUCACGGCGGAGGGUGACGGCCGGCGAGCAGUUCCCGCCGUUCUGGUGCCAGUCUCCACGGUCCGAGCGCGCGUACGGAUUCUCCGCGGUCUUCUCACCGGCGAGCGAUUCGUCGCCCCCCCCCCCCGGUCACGCCUCGCAUGAGGUGGCCACUAGCACCAUGAGGGGAAUACGACGAAGCUCCUAGGCCAGCAGUUGGGGUAAGGCCGAUGAUUCAGCCUGGAGCUGGCCACGACGUUCUCUCACCC
rnacentral:lncRNA from 1 species